rnacentral:hammerhead_ribozyme from 1 species
AUCCAGUUGAUGAGUGGCAAAUAAGAUGAAACGCGUUUCCUGGAU